rnacentral:rRNA from 1 species
UACGAAGGGGGCUAGCGUUGCUCGGAAUGACUGGGCGUAAAGGGCGCGUAGGCGGAUGGCAUAGUCAGAUGUGAAAUUCCCGGGCUUAACCUGGGGACUGCAUUUGAUACGUGUCGUCUUGAGUUCGGAAGAGGGUCGUGGAAUUCCGCGUGUAGCAGUGAAAUGCGUAGAUAUGCGGAGGAACACCGAUGGCGAAGGCAAUCCCCUGGGCCUGCACUGACGCUCAUGCACGAAAGCGUGGGGAGCAAACAGG